rnacentral:rRNA from 2 species
CUCAGGAUGAACGCUGGCGGCGUGCCUAAUACAUGCAAGUCGAGCGACUGAUUAGAAGCUUGCUUCUAUGACGUUAGCGGCGGACGGGUGAGUAACACGUGGGCAACCUGCCUGUAAGACUGGGAUAACUUCGGGAAACCGAAGCUAAUACCGGAUAGGAUCUUCUCCUUCAUGGGAGAUGAUUGAAAGAUGGUUUCGGCUAUCACUUACAGAUGGGCCCGCGGUGCAUUAGCUAGUUGGUGAGGUAACGGCUCACCAAGGCAACGAUGCAUAGCCGACCUGAGAGGGUGAUCGGCCACACUGGGACUGAGACACGGCCCAGACUCCUACGGGAGGCAGCAGUAGGGAAUCUUCCGCAAUGGACGAAAGUCUGACGGAGCAACGCCGCGUGAGUGAUGAAGGCUUUCGGGUCGUAAAACUCUGUUGUUAGGGAAGAACAAGUACAAGAGUAACUGCUUGUACCUUGACGGUACCUAACCAGAAAGCCACGGCUAACUACGUGC